rnacentral:rRNA from 1 species
AUGAUACCAAAUACAACCAGCCUCUGCACCAUCAAGAUGUCCAAAAACAUCCAGGAUGAACACAACCAAAAAAAAAAAACAAGAGAGAAAGAAAAAAAAAGCCCCGUCGCAGUGUAUAGCCACUCGCAACAGAAGCACUCUAACCACCUCCGAAUACAACACAUGUAUUACAUACUAGGCUCUCCAAAAGCAACGCCUCCAAGAAGGAAACAAAAUACAAGCGUUGUCGUCGCCCGAUCGAAGAUCUUGAGUUUUCACUCCGGAGAAAGACCAAGUUUCCAAAACAAUGCCUUCAGAAAGGCCAAUUGCAGGUACAACCAACGAAGGCCAGAACUUGGGUUUUCACCCUGA